ncrna:unclassified sequences L31-Firmicutes ribosomal protein leader
CUAUAACUAAAUUAUUUAGUUAUGGCGGAAGGAG